ACAAGCGGUGGAGCAUGUGGUUUAAUUCGUAAGCAACGCGAAGAACCUUACCAGGUCUUGACAUCCCGAUGCUAUUUCUAGAGAUAGAAAGUUACUUCGGUACAUCGGUGACAGGUGGUGCAUGGUUGUCGUCAGCUCGUGUCGUGAGAUGUUGGGUUAAGUCCCGCAACGAGCGCAACCCUUGUCUCUAGUUGCCAGUAUUAAGUUAGGGACUCUAGAGAGACUGCCUCGGUUAACGGGGAGGAAGGUGGGGAUGACGUCAAGUCCUCAUGGCCUUUAUACCCAGGGCUACACACGUGCUACAAUGGGCUGCACAAAGGGUCGCUAGCUCGCGAGAGUGCGCUAAUCCCAAAAAGCAGCUCUCAGUUCGGAUUGGAGUCUGCAACUCGACUCCAUGAAGUUGGAAUCGCUAGUAAUCGUGGAUCAGCACGCCACGGUGAAUACGUUCCCGGGCCUU
rnacentral:rRNA from 1 species